GAUGAACGCUGGCGGCGUGCCUAAUACAUGCAAGUCGAGCGAACAGACGAGGAGCUUGCUCCUCUGACGUUAGCGGCGGACGGGUGAGUAACACGUGGAUGACCUACCUAUAAGACUGGGAUAACUUCGGGAAACCGGAGCUAAUACCGGAUAAUAUAUUGAACCGCAUGGUUCAAUAGUGAAAGACGGUUUUGCUGUCACUUAUAGAUGGAUCCGCGCCGCAUUAGCUAGUUGGUAAGGUAACGGCUUACCAAGGCAACGAUGCGUAGCCGACCUGAGAGGGUGAUCGGCCACACUGGAACUGAGACACGGUCCAGACUCCUACGGGAGGCAGCAGUAGGGAACCUUCCGCAAUGGGCGAAAGCCUGACGGAGCAACGCCGCGUGAGUGAUGAAGGUCUUCGGAUCGUAAAACUCUGUUAUUAGGGAAGAACAAAUGUGUAAGUAACUAUGCACGUCUUGACGGUACCUAAUCAGAAAGCCACGGCUAACUACGUG
rnacentral:rRNA from 1 species